rnacentral:rRNA from 1 species
CCCUUAGAUGUCCUGGGCCGCACGCGCGUUACACUGAUGCACUCAACGAGUAUAUAACCUUGGCCGAGAGGCCUGGGUAAUCUUGUUAACUUGCAUCGUGAUAGGGAUAGAUUAUUGCAAUUAUUAAUCUUGAACGAGGAAUUCCUAGUAAUCGCAGUUCAUCAAACUGCAGUGAUUACGUCCCUGCCCUUUGUACACACCGCCCGUCGCACCUACCGAUUGAAUGGUCCGGUGAAGACUCGAGAUUGUGGUCUAGCUCCCUCAUUGGGGCUUGACCGCGAGAACCUGUCUAAACCUUAUCAUUUAGAGGAAGGUGAAGUCGUAACA